rnacentral:lncRNA from 1 species
CGUUCAAAUCAAGAAGUCAAGCGUGAAUAUAUCUUUAAAUUUUUUAAAUUUAUCGUGACAAAACAUGGAAGAAUAUACAACAUUUAUCGUUCACUUCAAAAAUGAUAAAUUUGUAUACUUUGGCAUGCAAGUCUGUCCAUUUCUCGUUAAGUAAAUCACGUACAAAAACGACGCGACGUAUAUAUAUAUAUACACACGUAUACGUUCAUUUACUUAUUUCUAUUCGACUAUCAGUCGCAGAAGCAUCCAUGAACGUGUUACGCGUGGUGUAUGCGUACCGUAAACGCAAUGUACAUGUACACUGUCUUUCCCUCCAGUUCUAUCUCUUUUCCUCUCUCUCCCUCUCCUGUUCCCACCUUCGGUGCAUUGUGCUUCGGUUCUCGAUCCCUCUUCCGAGCCCUUACCACAAGCCGCAACCCACUACACUUUUGCACGAACACGCGCGCGUUCAUUAUCAACGUACAACGUCGUAUAACCAUAUUUACGUAGCACCGGUGGUCACCCACACGGACGCAGCGUGCAAUGAGGUUGCAAAGAAACGACUUGUGCACAGAAACGAAAUGCUAUUUGUCGGUAUACGCAAGAAGCGCGGGAAAGAGGAAGAGAGAGGCAUAGAGAGGGAGGAAGGGACGAAACGAGACAGAGAGAAAAGCCAUAAAUGCAAUUGGAAACCUUUAGCUGAUAUAUUCGCGAAACUUCCUCUGGCGUCGCGUCGUGUAGACAGAAAGGAAGCAAUGCGUUUCUUAAAAUAAUAACUCGCCUCGUACAAUUUCGUUUCAUCGAUAGUUUGAUACAUAUAGUAUGUAUAUAUAUAUAUGUAUAUAGGUAUAUAUAGUAUGUAUCGAUAAUGGUGAAUGAAAUCGUGAAAGCCGCACGAUCCCGCUUCCCUUCUCUCAUCCUCGUUAUAAUUACACCGAUGAUUAAUCGUUUAUUUAAAGCACUUAAAGCGAAAGCUUGCCGUCUCUUACUUCUUUUCUCUACGCUCGAAUUGUCGUUCACCGCGGAUAUCAUCUAAUUAAUUUUCUCAUAAAUCAUGCGAGCAAAGAAAUAACGGAGGAACGUAAACGUUUUUGCGUACGCAUGCGAAAUUAUUGGUUUCUUAUCGCGUGACUAAUAACGAGCCAAACGAAUGUCGGAGGCCUUCGUAAUUUUGCCGGUAAUUGGAGCAAAUACGGUGUAUGUAUUACACAGUUGAAAGUUGUUGUCAAGAAAAUCGAUAGGUAUAUCUUUUGUUGAGUUAUACAACGAAGUCGCAUGCAACGAUGUAUUAAAGAGAAGAGCAACGUAAGACGAUAUUACGUUGAUGCGAAGUUAGAACAAUGGAGCGUGUCUCUAGAAUGUUUUAAAUAUAAAACUCCGUAUUUGCUGGAAGCACUGUCGGCACGAGUCGCCUUUAAGUUGUUUCCCUGAAGAGUACUGCCAUUCUUAGGGUAUACCACGCUGGAAUCAUCUACUAUCGGCAUCGUAAAAGGGGUCUAUAUAUCUAACUUGCACCACUCCGGUGAACACGAACCCCUGAAAAUCCUGUAAAACACGCGAACAGUUCGGAUAAUCAUUCUUGCUACGGGGAACGAUUCGCUGCCGAGCUACGUCUCUCAUCAAAGAUAAAAAAAGGAACUGGUUAAUGGGAUAGAACGGUCUUAUCUCGAGUGUUUGAAAUGUUCGCGAUAUCGUAUUUUCACAGUACAGACGAUGUUCGCUCAAUAUUCGUAUGGUAAUUAGGUAGCAGAGGGAUUCCUUUGUCAUGCCUUGUUUAUAUGGAUUAACGGCGUACAAACGUCACAGCAUUCUUCGAUUGCUUUAUCCCAAUAACUUAAUUAUGUUUUUUUUUAACGAUGUUUCUACUUAUAUUCAUAAUGAUAUGAAUGAAAACCAAACUUUAAAAGUAAUACUUCCUUUUUUUGAUCCAAUCUAAAUCGCAAUAAGCGGACUAACUUAAAGUCUUUGUAGCAUGCGGAAAAACCAAGUAGUUAUUUUCUUUUGUGAUGGAUUUAUUGUAGGUUAUACAUAUAUCUUUGAAUUCCUUGCAAGUACCAAUUAUGCGUAUGUUACGACUGACAAGAUAACUUACCUAUUGCACGCGAAACGUACAUACAUAAUUCGGAUGUAUAAUACAAGAAGCUUUCUUUCAGAGUAACAAAGUUUUGUUCUUCAAAUAACUUUGCAGUUCUUUAUUCUGUACCGUGUUUCUUUCAAUUCCGUUUUUAUCUUGGCAAGCCGUUAUGAAGAACGCAACGACAUCUGUCUUCAAAGGAAAUCAUAGAGUAGUUUUCUGCUACCGUUAUAAGACUCAUUUCUUAUUCUUCCAACUGGUCUUGUCACCGAAAACGCCAGUCUUACGAAGACUUGGUGACUGUUUUUCAUUCCUCUGGCGAAGCUCGGUGUGACAGUACUGUUUGUAUUGUAUACACCUUUUUUCCAGCUGUUCUUUCAUAUACAUGCUGUGGCAAACGCGCGCGCACACUCACAUACACUCAGGAUUCUUUUUCCAUCUAUCAGCCAUCUCAUUCUGUCUCUGACCCAUCUACCACCCACGCGCCCUUUUCUAUACUCAUUUUUACACCGCCUAUCCUUUCGUUGUAUGAACAGGCAAUGCGCAAGCUGG